GCUACACAUGCAGUCGAGCGGAACGAUGGUAGCUUGCUACCAGGCGUCGAGCGGCGGACGGGUGAGUAAUACUUAGGAAUCUACCUAGUAGUGGGGGAUAGCACGGGGAAACUCGUAUUAAUACCGCAUACGACCUACGGGAGAAAGGGGGCAGUUUACUGCUCUCGCUAUUAGAUGAGCCUAAGUCGGAUUAGCUAGAUGGUGGGGUAAAGGCCUACCAUGGCGACGAUCUGUAGCUGGUCUGAGAGGAUGAUCAGCCACACCGGGACUGAGACACGGCCCGGACUCCUACGGGAGGCAGCAGUGGGGAAUAUUGGACAAUGGGGGAAACCCUGAUCCAGCCAUGCCGCGUGUGUGAAGAAGGCCUUUUGGUUGUAAAGCACUUUAAGCAGUGAAGAAGACUCUUCGGUUAAUACCCGGAGACGAUGACAUUAGCUGCAGAAUAGCACCGGCUAACUCUGUGCCAGCAGCCGCGGUAAUACAGAGGGUGCAAGCGUUAAUCGGAUUACUGGCGUAAGCGAGCGUAGUGGCUUGAUAAGUCAGAUGUGAAUCCCGGGCUACUGGAACUGCAUCUGAAACUGUAGCUAGAGUAGGUGAGA
rnacentral:rRNA from 1 species